GUGAGUCAUCGAAUCUUUGAACGCACAUUGCGCCCCCUGGUAUUCCGGGGGGCAUGCCUGUCCGAGCGUCAUUGCUGCCCUCAAGCCCGGCUUGUGUGUUGGGUCUCGUCCCCCGUUCGGGGGGCGGGCCCGAAAGGCAGCGGCGGCACCGCGUCCGGUCCUCGAGCGUAUGGGGCUUUGUCACCCGCUCUGUAGGCCCGGCCGGCGCCUGCCGAUCAACCAAUUUUUUUCCAGGUUGACCUCGGAUCAGGUAGGGAUACCCGCUGAACUUAAGCAUAUCAAUAAGCGGAGGA
rnacentral:misc_RNA from 1 species